rnacentral:lncRNA from 1 species
UCAUAUGGUAUACUUGAUUUGCAGUUACAGAAGGGGCACUAAGGCCUAAGAAAAAAUAAAAACAGAAGAGACUAAUGAACAACAAUAUUCCCAGUUCUCCUAACUCUAGUAACGUUACGCCCCAAUCUCGGUGUCGGUGGGUUUUAUGCAUCAGACGCCGAUUCUGAGGUGUGAGUGUUACAAUGCAGAAAAUAAAUAAAAGCACUAUCUUCUAGGCUCUUUUUUCUAGGCUCGUCGUAUACCUUUUUUCGGUUCGGUUACAUCUAAGUACUUCUCUGCAAAAAAUACAAGAGAUGGGUGGGUGAGCAAAACCAUGUGUUCAGUGAGUAGACCAAUGUAAUAUGCCCGUAAACCUAUGUCAUUUUACCCACGCUAUAAAAUAAUAUAUCGAAUACACAUCAAGUGACGCAAUUCAUCACAUCGCAUCAUCCCUUCUUAUUGGAUACCCUUCAAUUUAAUUAGUGUACCCCACGGGAACCUAAUGACCAUCAUGUCUUAUACCACAUCCUUACUUCGGCAUAACCAAUCAAGAAGUUGACAUGUUUCACGACUAAUCAAACAAUGGAUCCAAUGUAUAAAUCUAUAUAAUCUCCGUAUAUUUCGCAAAUGGACAUGUUUCACUCGAAAAUAGUGAGAUAUUUCGUAAAUAGAUCAAAAUCAUGUUUUUCUACUAUUUUGAUAGCAAAUAAGAAUAUUUGAAACAUAUUAUAUAAAUCCAUUCACCUUGACAAUUCGAAUCCCAACCACAAAUACCGAUCGUAAACCAGGCCACCUAAAACGAGCCAUCUAAGAAUCACCGUUAGAUCUAAACCAAACCUCAAAGGAUAUAAAGAAGACAUCGAUACAAACCCGUAGCUCUUUGUGGAUUCAAAAUCGGAGUUAUGGAUCAAAAAUUAUGAAUUGCUCAAGUUUCUAA